rfam:Capsicum annuum cultivar Zunla-1 chromosome 11, whole genome shotgun sequence
GUGUUCCCUGGAGUUCCCUUGACCACUUCAUGAGGACUUACUUCAUUGUUUGAAGCCCUUCUGAAGUGUUUGGGGGAACUUUGGGGCUCAC